rnacentral:tRNA from 1 species
GGGUGUAGCUCAGUAGUAGAAUGUUUGCCUAGCGUGCAUGAAAUCCUGGGUUCCAUCCCCAGUACACCCG